AUUUCAUUUGCUUUGCUUUGUCCUCGUCCUCCGCACAUGAUGGCAACUUGGAUUUUGCUUGGGCAGGUGCCUUUCUCACUUGAGGACCCGGAUUACAAGGGUCUUGAGCUAGAUCUGAUAGUGAUGUGCGAGAAGCAUGGGAGGCCAUCAGAGAGGCUUGUUGCAUUUGAAGGAACAUUGACUGGGAGAAGGUUCUUAGCAUGUGCAGAGUUGGAAGGUCAGAAUUGUGGGUUUGUUUAGUGGGUUGAUGAGCAGUGGCCCCCAACAAUGGAGAAUGCAUUGUUGAAGCUUUGGUCAAUGGUUGAAGAGAGCAAGUCUAGGGUGAAUGAUAAUCUUGAAAGUGCUUUAACUAUUCAUCACUUGAUAGAAGAAAAGAACAAGCUGGAUGCAGACUAUGACAAGUUAGUGAAAGAUGUGCAUCAACUUGCGGAUAUGCAGGAGGAGAGGGUUGUGGAUUUCAGUUAUCUGUAGUCCAACAUCACAUAUCAGCACCAAUGCAGAGCUGAAUUGGUGGCUGGUAUGAAGGCAGAAAUGGCAAAGAAAGAUGCAAUUACAGAGAAGCUUCAAUAG
rnacentral:rRNA from 1 species